UGUUCUGUGGCUUAGUUGGUUAAAGUGCCGGUCGUGGAAGUACGAAGUCGUGAGUUUGAAUCCCACCAGAACGC
rfam:Aedes albopictus isolate Foshan contig147363, whole genome shotgun sequence.